CCUCGGCACAGUGGCACACGCCUGUAGUCCCAGCUACUCAGGAGGCUGAGGCUGGGGGAUCACUUGAGUCCAGGAGUUCUAGGCUGUAGUGCACUAUGCUGAUUAGGUGUCCGACCUAAGUUCAGCAUCAGUAUUGUGACCUCCCGGGAGCAGGGGACCACCAGAUUGCCUACGGAGGAGUGAACCAGCCCAGGUUGGAAGCAGAGCAGGUCAAAAUUCCCGUGCUGAUCAGUAGCAGGAUUGCGCCUGUGAAUAGCCACUGCACUCCAACCUAGGCAACAUAACGAGACCCCAUCUCU
rnacentral:SRP_RNA from 1 species